GUCUGUACUGCAUGUGGAACUCGUACAUAAAGUUCUUGACCCAGAGUGAGUUUAUCGGCUUCAGCUACUAGCAGGGCAGCUGCAGCUACAGCUCUUAGACAAGGUGGAAGUCCGCUGGCCACUGCAUCCAGUUGCUUAGACAUGUAGGCAACAGGUCUUUGCCAUGAUCCCAAGUACUGUGUCAAUACUCCCACAGCCAUUCUUCUUUGCUCAUGUACAUACAGGUAGAAUGGCCGUGUAUGGUCAGGUAGACCUAAUGCUGGGGCACUCAUCAAAGCCCUCUUCACAUCUUCGAAUGCCGUUUGCUGUUCUUGAGUCCAUAAGAAGGGGUCGUGCUCUGUACCUUUGAUAGCUGCAUACAGAGGUUUUGCCAGUAUCGCGUAGCUGGGAAUCCAUAUCCUACAGAAGCCUGCUGCCCCCAAGAAUUCUCGCACUUGUCUUCUAUUCCUGGGUAUCGGUAUUUGGCACACAGCUUCUUUUCUC